UACGGAGGAUCCAAGCGUUAUCCAGAUUUAUUGGGUUUAAAGGGUGCGUAGGCGGCCAUUUAAGUCAGAGGUGAAAGACGGUAGCUCAACUAUCGCAGUGCCUUUGAUACUGAGUGGCUUGAAUGAACUAGAGGUAGGCGGAAUGAGACAAGUAGCGGUGAAAUGCAUAGAUAUGUCUCAGAACACCGAUUGCGAAGGCAGCUUACUAUGGUUUAAUUGACGCUGAGGCACGAAAGCGUGGGGAUCAAACAGG
rnacentral:rRNA from 1 species